rnacentral:lncRNA from 1 species
AAAAAAGACAAGAAAAUACUUAAGAAAAUGGGACAAAUUAGAGUUAAAGAUGAAGAAGAUUGUAUAUGUUAUUUACUAAGAACAAGUUUUAAAAAACCUAGCUGUAAAAUUAAACUAUGCAGGGAGAAGACAAAAAAUGGAAAUAGGAAAAAUGUUGUUUUCAUAUGUUACUAUUGUAGUUGUAAAGUCAAAUAAGCAUGGAAUAUGCAGCAAUGUGAUAGAGAUGGUGGAAGAAAAGAUGAAAGUUGUGGGCACAAAAUAUCAUUAGCUGAACACGAUUCAAUAACAAAUAGCUCAGCCAAUAACGAAACUACUUCAUAA